GAAAUUGAAUUCCUUCCAUUUGAAUUGUCUCAGGAAGAUUCUGAAGGUCAUCUGGCAAGAUAAGGUACCAGACACUGAGGUCCUUUCUUAAGCUGAAGCACCAAAGCCUUCCAACUCCACUGGAGAGAGCUCAACUCCAAUGGCUGGCCACGUUAUUGGAAUGCCAAACCCACAGUUGCCUGAAAGACUAUUUCACCAGGAGUCAAAGUCUUCCUUGGAGCAGAAUGGGGUUGUGAGAAGAGAUAUGAAGAAGAAUUAUAGAGAUGUCUAUGGUUGAACUGACAAGUGUUGGACAUUAGAGACAAGGGAGAUGGAAAAUUGAUAUGACCUACUAUCAACACUUUACUGUAUUAAGCAAUUGAAGAGAUUUUUAAAAAAGGAAAUAAGACACAUUCCUUGAUGCUGUGGAGCUCGUAAAUAAAUAUAAUGCAAACCAAUGCAUGAUAUGCGUAUGAAGACAGUUCUUCAGGAACAAGGAUCAUCAGGGAGAGGAGGAAAGGAAUCAGAAAAAGCAUCAUGAGACAGAUUUAAAAUUUUGUGUGUGGACCUAUGCUUGGGCAAGAAUUUUUCAGGAAGGAGCUUCACCAGAUCAGGAAACCUGUUGUUAUCAUCUGGUUCAAGAGCUUGCUCAAAAGGGAUAUAAGAUUUCAAAGAUCAAGGUACAGUAUUGUAUGUCACAAGUAGAAUAUUUGGGUUUUAUCUUGUCGAUAGGAAAGAGAACUAUUUCACUAAAGAGAGUUCAGGCUUUGCAGAACCUAUCCAUUCCUAAGACUAAGAAACAAGUACGAGCUAUAUCAGGGGCAGCAGGUUAUUGUUGUGCCUGAAUAUUGACCUAUUGGGAAAAUUGUUAAGCCUGUCACUGAAUUGACAAAGAAUUUGGUCACUGAGCCUUUGGAGGUGAAA
rnacentral:lncRNA from 1 species